AAUUACAAAUUCAACUUUGGACGUGAAGAACAGCAUGAGAAAUCAUGGUUUGCCAAAGCUAGCAUUAAAUAGAACUUGUAAAAAAAUGAAAACCCUCAAUAAUCGUAUUCUACCAGAAAGGAUAACUGAUGCUGUAUGCAAGCUGGAUAGUGAAGCAAAAGAAAUAUUUGGGGCAAUAGCCAAGAAAUCAAAAUUUGAUGAAAAUUGGGGAUACAAAAGUGAAAUUUGAGAUUUGUUUUGUGAUCCCAAACCAUUCCUAAACGACUCAAGACAGAAUGACGAGUGAUCUUCAGUAAUUCUAGAAAGAGGCAGACCAAACCAUAAAUCUCAACAAACAUAGAAAGCAAGCAAUUCACCACAAAAACUGCAACAGAAAUCUCAAAAUGUCCCAAAAUGGAAAGCAAAGAAAGUUCCCUUCCAAAACUGAC
rnacentral:misc_RNA from 1 species